rnacentral:rRNA from 1 species
UACGUAGGGGGCAAGCGUUGUCCGGAAUCAUUGGGCGUAAAGAGCGCGUAGGCGGUCCGGUAAGUCCGCUCUGAAAGCCCGGGGCUCAACCCCGGGUCGGCCGUGCGAACUGCUGGACUGGAGCUUGUCAGAGGCAGGCGGAAUUCCGGGUGUAGCGGUGGAAUGCGUAGAUAUCGGGAGGAACACCAGUGGCGAAGGCGAUCUUCUGGACCAUUUCUGACGCUCAGACGCGACAGCUAGGGUAGCAAACGGG